UGUUUUCAUUAGACAGAAGUACAGAAAGCUUGUUUCUAUGAUGAGAGAGGUAAAGCCCAAGUGUAACAUAAGAACCUGUUUAUUUUUAAGUAUAAGGAACUGAGGGCAAGUUUCACUUUUCCCUAGUUCACACUUGGACAGUGCGGUUUCUCACAUGCACAUAUAUUAACUGAAAUAAAAUAAGCACUAGGACAGGAACAUCUGAAAUUUAUUAGAAAAAGGUGGAAAGUUGCAUUUUAGAAUAAGAUCUUCUGCAUACAUAUGUAAUAUAUGGAGAGAAUAUAUUCCUUUCCACAUAUUAGAUAUCUGUUUUUAGAGGGGUGCCAUUCUGGAUUAAUUAAUUUCCCCUAGCAUAAAGAAGAGGCAAGUACCGCAGCUUUUCCAGGAAUGGUCUGAUCCCAUAGGCUUCCAGCAGCCUGAUGCCACUGAUCGUCACAGUAAUUUCAGACUCGCAGGAAUGCAGAAUCAGCUCCGAAGUGUGGUUUACCCUCCAUAGCCACAGAGCUGGAUGGAACUGGAAAGCUGUCCUUGCAAUUGCACAACAUGGCAAGUUUGUUCCAGACCUGUGAAUUGCAAGUCUGAAACAAGCUCCUUUUCUGAGAUGCUUUAACCAGGGACCUACAUUUCAAUUUUGGUUGGACUUAUUUCAGGCUGAGUUUCUUUUUCUGUUGUUCUGGCUUUACUUAAUCAGGUGUAGAGAAUUUCUUUUUCCUAAAAUGCUUAUCAAGUAUUCUUAAAGGUGUCAGUAUUCGUAUCUGCAAAAA